GCCUAGCUGGUCUCCAGGAGCCCGGGCGCCGCGCCAGCAGUUUCCAUGGGGACUGAGUGGCGAUGGCACCGCGAGGCCGCAGGCUGUCGUCCAUCUCCCUGGAGAUCCUGCUCUUUCUCAAUGGCUGGUACAGCGCCACCUACUUCCUACUGGAGCUUUUCGUCUUCAUGUACAAAGGUCUCCUGUUACCAUACCCAACAGCCAACCUAGUUCUUGACCUGGUCAUGCUCUUCCUUUACCUUGGCAUUGAAAUCAUCCGCCUUUUUUUUGCUACAAAAGGGAACCUCUGUCAAAGGAUGAUGCCUCUUGCGAUCAGCUUGGCAAUGACCUUUCCGUCAGCCAUGAUGGCUUUCUAUUACCUCCUGCUGCAGACCUACGUUCUGCGCCUUGAAGCUGUGAUGAGCACCAUCCUGCUCCUUUUCUGUGGCUUAGAGCUGGUGCUCGAGGUGAUCACACUCACCACCUUCAGCAGCAUGGAUGCGUAUUGAAGUACAAGCGGCCUGUUGAGCCCUGGUGACAUGGCCCCCUGACGCCCAGAGGCACAUGCUCUUGGGGAGGCUGGCCCUUUGACUCAGUCUGGCAGCAUCUUCUAGACCAGCCUAGAGAAUGUGUUCUCCAUCUCCUUCAGGAUAGCAGAGCACACAGCCCUCGCCUAGGCCGUUGCGCGUGGUCCUUACUCGGCACUCCCGUUUGUCACAACCAGAGCACUGGGUUUGGAUUGUCUAGGCCCCUCGUCUGUCCUUUGUAAUCCUGAGGCCUUACUAGGCUGUGAGACUUGUGGCGAGUGACGUCCCUUCUGUACUUCAGUCUCCUCGUCAGUCAAACGGACUCAGGGGCCCCUCGUAGGGUCUCUUCUAGCCCCAAAUCCACCAUCACCUCCAAAUCAGUUACACGUUACUUUCUAGUAACCUGUUGUAGCAGUGAAGACAUCUCCCCUGAAGGGACUCUGGACACUUCGGGCCCUUUCUGGUACUUUAAGGUGUGACUUUCCUGCGUUUCUCCACUGUGGCAUUAGCACUUGGUGCUGGCUUUUGAAAUUCUACUCGUGCUUGGGGAAAAACAGUUCAUAGACCUUCCCACUAUCUAAUGUGAAAGUGGGCGUGACCAGUCUCAUCUCUUUUGUACGUUGCCACUGCAGUCUAACUGAAAAAGGCAAAGACUGUUGGACAAACCAAGUUCACCGUGAUUUCCCUGAAUCCUACAUCUUAGGACAACAUCCUUUGAGGCCUGACUUGACCUAAUCCUUGGCACAUAGCUAGAGUGAUGACCCAUGUUCUAUGGCCUCCCUAAUUCACUCCGGGGACACCGUUUGCUCAUUUUACAGAUAAGCAAACAGAGACCCAGAGAGACAAAGUGAUUUGCCCAGUAGCAAAUGGCACCCAAACUGGUCCUUGGGUCUUGUGACUCUACAUCCCGUGCUUUUCAUUCUGUCCCACCAGGAUGGAGGAAAGGGGAGAGGAGGGGGCAGAGUGCUUCAUUUGGAUUUAGAGGAGCCAAUUUCUGCUCUUCCGUUUGUUACCCAAGGGACCUCAAGCAAGUCCCUUUCAUGUCUAAAAUCCUGGUUCUUAUUUUAGCUUCUCAAUUUGGGUGAAAGCAGGUUCUGUUCACGUGAAGUGGUUUCAGGAUGUUUCGAUACUUUCUUCAGCCCCUCUGCAAAUUCACCCCUUUCCAGCCUAGGCCCACGUGACCAGGAAGGCAGAAGAAGGGGAAUUAGAAUCCAGCUAACUCCCAAGGGGGCAGCUAGGUGGCGCCAUGGUGCACAGAGCCUGGGCCUGCAGUCAGAAGACCACCUGAAUUCAAACC